CUCUGUUUUCUCUCCUUCUUCAAGCCCUCAUGGUUCAAAUACAAAAUUGAAGGCCAAGGUUCGAGAAUCUCACAACAAAGCAAGAAGAAAACGUGAUCUACGGACAAAGGGCUACGCAUCUAUCCGAACAAAAUCUCAAUCAGUCAAAUUUGGGAUUUCAUCAAUUUGGGGAUUUCUCUCUUUGAGGUUUGGAAGUGGAUUCAAGGCUUAAGAAUCAUGGGUCUUUUAUUUAAGAGUGUAAUGAAAUACUUGUAUAUUUUUGGUCCAUAAGACUUGCAAACUUUUAUUUUGGGUUGUAAGAACUUGAAUUGCGAGAUAUAUUAAUUUGGUAUUGUAAAUUUGGAUAUUGGAAGAGUAGGGCCUGGAAGUGUAUUUGAUAUACUGUAUUUUGGAGUUUAUUUUUUUAAAAAAAGGCGGGUCUUGACA